rnacentral:lncRNA from 1 species
GCUCCCCCGCGCCCCUCCUCACCUAAUCACGCCGAAGGGGGGUGGGGGGUGGGCUGAAACGGGGAGCGCUGAAACGGACGGACGUCAGUGGUUUCAGUCUAGCCGUGUCUCGCCGCGUUGCUCGACUACCCCGUGCGCUCCGACGCUCCCGCCACACAUGGCCACCACGUGACGAGAUCGCGACCGGACUCCCCGCGGAUUCGUCGCCGGUUCUCGCGGAUCCAAGCGAGAGAUUGGACUCAUUUUAUGCUGAAUUUUCGGAAACAUUAGAGUCAAAACAUAAAACGAACCGUCAGCGUUUUCGAAUUAUAGACAAUCCUCUUUCUCUAAAUAUGAGCUUCCUCAUGUUUCACCGUAACUUUGGAUUGUUAGAAGAAACUCAACCUCUUUACUCACCAUACGUCGCAUUUAUCAGCUUGAAUGGAAAUUCAGGUGAAAAUUUCGUGGAAACAUUAGGUAUGCAUUUUGGAAUUUCUUUAAAUACAGGGUGAUCCAUGGUUAAAUGGCCAGACUGCAGGAGCCGGAACACCCCCAAACCCCCUCUUUAAAUUGAGGUUUCGAUUUUUUUUAGAUUAUCUAUGAAUUCAGGGCAUAAAAGUACGGGGAAGUACACAUUUUCAUGAGAUUUAGUUCACAACCGUUACCAAAAUUCAGAAAGGACGAUUUACAUUCCGAAAUUUGGGGGGGGGGGGGUCGUAGCUCCAACCGGGGGCACUUUUGGAAAAAAACUUUAUACAACAAAAAAGUCAUAUUUUGACCUAUAGAACACGCUCCUGCAGUCUGGCCGUUUAACCCUGGAUGGAUCACCCUAUAUAUCUAGUGAGUACUUUUUUAACAUUUUAUCGAGGUAAUGUGGAAAGAAAGAAGGGAAACAAAAACAAGCGGGAAGCUCCAAUAAAAAAGGUUGGUAUAAAGGGUUGAAAAUUGGUCUUUCUUUUCGUAUAAAUCGUCGUAUGCUGGACGAAGGAGCGUAGCUCUAUUCCAAGGUUGCAAACUUGACUCAAAACAAUUCAAUUUUUUACAAAAAUGUACCUGCGCAUUUUUUUUUGAAAAUUUGUCUGAUUAUCGCAUGAGAUUAAAAGAAAAAUCAGUGAAAUUUCCAAUAAAAAAUUUCCAAAAUUCUCUUGGUUAAAGUGUAAUUUGCGCGGGGAAAUCAGGCAUCGUCGAAAUGGAGUUACGCUCUUUCGCGGGGAAAAUGAGGAAAUGUGGCGGCAGGGACCGGAACCCUAGCGUAAGUGGGAAAAUUGGCCGCUUUGGGAGUAUCGGGACUUGAGGUGGGAAGGGUGGGUGUUUACUGGGGCUGAAGAGGUGAUCUUGUCGCGAUACACGUAUCGCGUUGUGCACGCAUUAAUGCGUUAUCUGGUCGACGCGUGGCCCUCUACCUCUAGUGCUCUCGUGUUUGACCGGGUCAAGCCGUUUCCGGAAAAUAGACCUCCACCCACCGCAUUCAACUUUCACCUCCCACACGACCGCUGUUUAAUUGAGUGCUUGCGAUGGCCAGUUUUAGAUUGUCCCAACCCUCACUUUAGCGCCGAAACCCUUGUGCUGCCAUGCUAAGGAAAAGCGCACUAU